rnacentral:rRNA from 1 species
UGAGGAAUAUUGGUCAAUGGACGAAAGUNUGAACCAGCCAAGUAGCGUGCAGGAUGACGGCCCUCUGGGUUGUAAACUGCUUUUAGUUGGGAAUAAAAAAGAGGACGUGUCCUCUAUUGUAUGUACCUUCAGAAAAAGGACCGGCUAAUUCCGUGCCAGCAGCCGCGGUAAUACGGAAGGUCCAGGCGUUAUCCGGAUUUAUUGGGUUUAAAGGGAGCGUAGGCGGAUUAUUAAGUCAGUGGUGAAAGACGGUGGCUCAACCAUCGUUAGCCAUUGAAACUGGUAGUCUUGAGUGCAGACAGGGAUGCUGGAACUCGUGGUGUAGCGGUGAAAUGCUUAGAUAUCACGAUGAACUCCGAUCGCGAAGGCAGGUGUCCGGGCUGCAACUGACGCUGAGGCUCGAAAGUGUGGGUAUCAAACAGGAUUAGAUACCCUGGUAGUCCACACAGUAAACGAUGUAUACUCGCGGUUUGCGAUAUAAUGUAAGCCGCCAAGCGAAAGCAUUAAGUAUACCACCUGGGGAGUACGCCGGCAACGGUG